GAUGAAGAACGCAGCGAAAUGCGAUACGUAAUGUGAAUUGCAGAAUUCAGUGAAUCAUCGAGUCUUUGAACGCACAUUGCGCCCCCUGGUAUUCCGGGGGGCAUGCCUGUCCGAGCGUCAUUGCUGCCCUCAAGCACGGCUUGUGUGUUGGGCCUCCGUCCUCCUCCCGGGGGACGGGCCCGAAAGGCAGCGGCGGCACCGCGUCCGGUCCUCGAGCGUAUGGGGCUUCGUCACCCGCUCUUAGGCCCGGCCGGCGCUUGCCGACACAUCAAUCUUUUUUCCAGGUUGACCUCGGAUCAGGUAGGGAUACCCGCUGAACUUAAGCAUAUCAAUAAGCGGAGGA
rnacentral:misc_RNA from 1 species